AAAGGAGACUGCCAGUGAUAAACUGGAGGAAGGUGGGGAUGACGUCAAGUCAUCAUGGCCCUUACGACCAGGGCUACACACGUGCUACAAUGGCGCAUACAAAGAGAAGCGACCUCGCGAGAGCAAGCGGACCUCAUAAAGUGCGUCGUAGUCCGGAUUGGAGUCUGCAACUCGACUCCAUGAAGUCGGAAUCGCUAGUAAUCGUGGAUCAGAAUGCCACGGUGAAUACGUUCCCGGGCCUUGUACACACCGCCCGUCACACCAUGGGAGUGGGUUGCAAAAGAAGUAGGUAGCUUAACCUUCGGGAGGGCGCUUACCACUUUGUGAUUCAUGACUGGGGUGAAGUCGUAACAAGGUAACCGUAGGGGAACCUGC
rnacentral:rRNA from 5 species